rnacentral:rRNA from 1 species
UACGGAGGGAGCUAGCGUUGUUCAGAAUUACUGGGCGUAAAGCGCGCGUAGGCGGCUUUGUAAGUUAGAGGUGAAAGCCCGGGGCUCAACUCCGGAACUGCGUUUAAGACUGCAUCGCUUGAAUCCGGGAGAGGUGAGUGGAAUUCCGAGUGUAGAGGUGAAAUUCGUAGAUAUUCGGAAGAACACCAGUGGCGAAGGCGGCGCACUGGACCGGUAUUGACGCUGAGGUGCGAAAGCGUGGGGAGCAAACAGG